rnacentral:lncRNA from 1 species
GGGAUGUCACCACUAGUGCUGCGCUCUAAAAACUUUAGAAAGGCCUAGGUCAGAUCCUCCAUCUAAACUAUCUGCAAGUACAUCCUUGCUAAGGAUCAAACAUAUCUCACCCUUGGACAUCGGAAUAAAAUAUGCUCCAUGGUCUCCUCCUCCAAGUCGCAAUAAGGACAAACCAACUGAAUAUCCAUGCCUUGAGCAUAGAAGAGAUCUGGUAAGAAGCUAUCAUCAAGCAGCUUCCAAAGAAAUAGGCUCACCCUCGAAUGCAUCCCGAUCCUCCAGACCCAUCUAACAUCUCUAUGUCUAGUGGACUCCCUCCUAUAGAACUGGUAAAGAUCAGUCAUCACAACCCUCGAAGUGUAGGAAUGUCCUUAAUUCCUGAUGUCUAAUUUGCUAUAAAUGAAAAUCGCAAGGGAUGACACCCACUCUCCUAGCUGCACCCCAGAUAGACAGGAUACAGCUAUCCAAUUCCAUCUCCUGCCAUCCGCAAGAAGAAGAUCAAUAAUUCUCAUAGAGUCAAUUACCUCAGAGCUGAUAAAGGUAGGCCACCGGCUCAAGAGCAGGUCUCCAAUGUAUAGAUCAUACAGAAUACUUACAGAGUGACCAUCCCCCACUAGCUAUCUCAUCUAGAGGAUCAUAUCGAGAGUACAGGG